rnacentral:rRNA from 1 species
AGAGUUUGAUCCUGGCUCAGAACGAACGUUGGCGGCGUGGAUGACGGCAUGCAAGUCGCACGAUGGAAAGUCGCAAGAUGGAGUAAAGUGGCCGGACGGGGCGAGUAACACGUAAUCMAAGCUGCCCUUGAGACAGGAAAUAACUUCGGGAAACCGAAGCBUAAUUACCUGAUGGUCUUGCUGGAUCGCCAUGGUCUAGCAAGUAAAUGGUGGGGUCCUCCGGGVACCUGKCUGCUCAGGGAGGGUGAUUGCGGCCCAUYCAGUUUAGUUGGGCGGGGUAAUAGGCCCAVCCAAGACUACGACGGGUAGCCGGCCUUAGAGGGUGG